rnacentral:rRNA from 1 species
AGAGCGAACGCUGGCGGCAGGCCUAAUACAUGCAAGUCGAGCGGCCACUUCGGUGGCAGCGGCGGACGGGUGAGUAACGCGUGGGAAUGUGCCCUUUGGUACGGAACAACUGAGGGAAACUUCAGCUAAUACCGUAUGUGCCCUUCGGGGGGAAAGAUUUAUUGCCAUUGGAGCAGCCCGCGUUGGAUUAGCUAGUUGGUGGGUAAAGGCCCACCGAAGGCGACGAUCCAUAGCUGGUCUGAGAGGAUGAUCAGCCACACUGGGACUGAGACACGGCCCAGACUCCUACGGGAGCAGCAGUAGGAAUCUGCGCAAGUGGGACGAAAGCCUGACGCAGCCAGUCGCCGCGUGAAUGAUGAAGGUCUAGGUAUUAGUAAAUUCUUACGACGGUAAGAGUAAGUGAACGGUACCGGAGAACGACGCCCGGACUAACGUCCGACGCCAGCCACGCCGAGUAACUCGUGACGG